rnacentral:rRNA from 1 species
GACGAACCCUUUCGGCGUGCUUAACACAUGCAAGUCGAACGGAAAGGCCCUGCUUUUGUGGGGUGCUCGAGUGGCGAACGGGUGAGUAACACGUGAGUAACCUGCCCUUGACUUUGGGAUAACUUCAGGAAACUGGGGCUAAUACCGGAUAGGAGCUCCUGCUGCAUGGUGGGGGUUGGAAAGUUUCGGCGGUUGGGGAUGGACUCGCGGCUUAUCAGCUUGUUGGUGGGGUAGUGGCUUACCAAGGCUUUGACGGGUAGCCGGCCUGAGAGGGUGACCGGCCACAUUGGGACUGAGAUACGGCCCAGACUCCUACGGGAGGCAGCAGUGGGGAAUAUUGCACAAUGGGCGGAAGCCUGAUGCAGCAACGCCGCGUGCGGGAUGACGGCCUUCGGGUUGUAAACCGCUUUCGCCUGUGACGAAGCGUGAGUGACGGUAAUGGGUAAAGAAGCACCGGCUAACUACGUGCCAGCAGCCGCGGUGAUACGUAGGGUGCGAGCGUUGUCCGGAUUUAUUGGGCGUAAAGGGCUCGUAGGUGGUUGAUCGCGUCGGAAGUGUAAUCUUGGGGCUUAACCCUGAGCGUGCUUUCGAUACGGGUUGACUUGAGGAAGGUAGGGGAGAAUGGAAUUCCUGGUGGAGCGGUGGAAUGCGCAGAUAUCAGGAGGAACACCAGUGGCGAAGGCGGUUCUCUGGGCCUUUCCUGACGCUGAGGAGCGAAAGCGUGGGGAGCGAACAGGCUUAGAUACCCUGGUAGUCCACGCUGUAAACGGUGGGUACUAGGUGUGGGGUCCAUUCCACGGGUUCCGUGCCGUAGCUAACGCUUUAAGUACCCCGCCUGGGGAGUACGGCCGCAAGGCUAAAACUCAAAGGAAUUGACGGGGCCCCGCACAAGCGGCGGAGCAUGCGGAUUAAUUCGAUGCAACGCGUAGAACCUUACCUGGGUUUGACAUGGAUCGGGAGUGCUCAGAGAUGGGUGUGCCUCUUUUGGGGUCGGUUCACAGGUGGUGCAUGGCUGUCGUCAGCUCGUGUCGUGAGAUGUUGGGUUAAGUCCCGCAACGAGCGCAACCCUUGUUCACUGUUGCCAGCACGUUAUGGUGGGGACUCAGUGGAGACCGCCGGGGUCAACUCGGAGGAAGGUGGGGAUGACGUCAAGUCAUCAUGCCCCUUAUGUCCAGGGCUUCACGCAUGCUACAAUGGCUGGUACAGAGAGUGGCGAGCCUGUGAGGGUGAGCGAAUCUCGGAAAGUCGGUCUCAGUUCGGAUUGGGGUCUGCAACUCGACCUCAUGAAGUCGGAGUCGCUAGUAAUCGCAGAUCAGCAACGCUGCGGUGAAUACGUUCCCGGGGCC